UUGAGCUUUAAUUGCAUGUACGUGCACAGCCCAAUGUCGCGAGUUAAGAAGGGUGAUCGAGAAGUCGACUUGAAGAUCAAGUUAUUUAAUUUAUUUAUGCACGUUUUUAAUUUAGGUUUUAUUAGGUUUUUAAUAUUUUAGAGUCUUUUAUGGUUAGGAUUUGCUUAUUUACAAGUUUCCUUAUUAUAGUUUAGGUAGGAG
rnacentral:lncRNA from 1 species